GGUGCUAACUGCUAACAUCGCCUACAAGUAUGAAGUGACAUUUGAUUUUCUCUUUCCAAUGAGAGUCGUUUUCCCUUUACAAACCGGUUUAAUUUCUAGCUUUUUUAAUACCCUAAUUUUCAUCAUGUCCGAUCCAUCGUUCCUAGGCUAAAUCUCCCGGUCUGCCGGCCUAAUCACACUUGAUCCAUCGUUAUGUCAUGGGAUUUCAUCAUUAAUUUCGCUGCUGUGUUGUGUUAGAGAAGAUAAGAAAAUCAGCGACAUGGCAGCUGCGAAUUAUUAUUGCUUUAUCGAUUCGUCGUCUCCUCUACCUGGUUCUACUGUGAUUCUAGUUAAAUCUCGUUUGCAAUAAGGAAACUAUUACAUUGGUAUCUUUGAGAUUUCGUUUUCUUCGUCUGCUACAUUUUGGUUCGCAUACAAACAAUGGUGGGGGGGACUUCAAUCAGCUUUUGCUCGGGUUGCAUGAUUAUCAUAAGGAUGCUUCGAAUUCAGCAACAUUCUUCAUCCUCUAGCACUUUCGUUUGAUUUUUCAAUGCGCAAGAAGAAGGAAUAGCAUUUAAAAACCCGAACGUCAACCAGAAUCACAACAAUGACAGAAAACUUCAACAACACACGUAGCAGCAACAACAUUAAAUCCCAUGGAUUAUCUAGUAAAAGAAGCUUAAUCAUUGCGUUCUUUUUUGGGAUGGCAGACGGAUCUCCAUUUCUAUUAUGUAGAAUACUUAUUAUCACCCACUUUAUUUCUUCUA